rnacentral:lncRNA from 10 species
AGCAACUGGGCCGCGGCGUGGCCUGCGUCGUCCCUGCCCUCGGGCGGGUGGACUUCGCCCAAGAGCGAAACUCUGUGGGCCUGUUUCCUCAUAUAUACACAGUGGACGUUAAGAGGACAGAUCUCAAACGAAGGUUGCAAAGGCAUCAUUCAUUCACAAAAACCGCUUAACCAUCUGCUAGACUUGGAGGCAGUAGGCUACAAGAGGAAACUAACUCAGAAACAACGGUUUAAUUCUACAAAGGUAAAAUUGCACUUGUGAUAAGUAUUAACAAAAAAAAAUUUUUUUUUUUUUGAGACUGAGUCUCACUGUCACCCAGGCUGGAGUGCAUUGGCGCUAUCUCAGCUCACUGCAACCUCAGCCCCCCGGCCCCGGGUUCAAACGAUUCUCCCAUCUCACCCUUCCGAGCAGCUGGAACUACAGGUGCGCGCCACCACGCCUGGCUAAUUUUUGUAUUUUUAGUAGAGAUGGGGUUUCACUAUGUUGGCCAGGCUGGUCUCAAACUCCUGACCUCAAGUGAUCCGCCCACCUCAGCCUCCAAAAAUGCUGGGAUUACAGGCAUGAACCACCACUCCCAGCCCCGCAAAAAUUUAUUUUAUUAUUAUUUUUUGAGAUGAAGUCUUGCUCUGUCGCCCAGGCUAAAGUGAAGUGGCUUGACCUUGGCUCACUGCAACC